rnacentral:rRNA from 1 species
UCCACGUUUUCCGCGCCGUAGCUAACGCAUUAAGUGCCCCGCCUGGGGAGUACGGCCGCAAGGCUAAAACUCAAAGGAAUUGACGGGGGCCCGCACAAGCGGCGGAGCAUGCGGAUUAAUUCGAUGCAACGCGAAGAACCUUACCAAGGCUUGACAUGAACCGGAAAGACCUGGAAACAGGUGCCCCGCUUGCGGUCGGUUUACAGGUGGUGCAUGGUUGUCGUCAGCUCGUGUCGUGAGAUGUUGGGUUAAGUCCCGCAACGAGCGCAACCCUCGUUCUAUGUUGCCAGCGCGUUAUGGCGGGGACUCAUAGGAGACUGCCGGGGUCAACUCGG